GACGAACGCUGGCGGCGUGCUUAACACAUGCAAGUCGAACGAUGAUGCCCUGCUUGCAGGGUGGAUUAGUGGCGAACGGGUGAGUAACACGUGGGUGAUCUGCCCCGCACUUCGGGAUAAGCCUGGGAAACUGGGUCUAAUACCGGAUACGACCCCCUGGUAGGUCAGGGGGUGGAAAGAUUUAUCGGUGUGGGAUGAGCCUGCGGCCUAUCAGCUUGUUGGUGGGGUAAUGGCCUACCAAGGCGUCGACGGGUAGCCGGCCUGAGAGGGUGAUCGGCCACAUUGGGACUGAGACACGGCCCAG
rnacentral:rRNA from 1 species